GACGAACGCUGGCGGCGUGCCUAAUACAUGCAAGUAGAACGCUGAAGGAGGAGCUUGCUUCUCUGAAUGAGUUGCGAACGGGUGAGUAACGCGUAGGUAACCUGCCUGGUAGCGGGGGAUAACUAUUGGAAACGAUAGCUAAUACCGCAUAAGAGUAGAUGUUGCAUGACAUUUGCUUAAAAGGUGCAAUUGCAUCACUACCAGAUGGACCUGCGUUGUAUUAGCUAGUUGGUGGGGUAACGGCUCACCAAGGCGACGAUACAUAGCCGACCUGAGAGGGUGAUCGGCCACACUGGGACUGAGACACGGCCCAGACUCCUACGGGAGGCAGCAGUAGGGAAUCUUCGGCAAUGGACGGAAGUCUGACCGAGCAACGCCGCGUGAGUGAAGAAGGUUUUCGGAUCGUAAAGCUCUGUUGUAAGAGAAGAACGAGUGUGAGAGUGGAAAGUUCACACUGUGACGGUAUCUUACCAGAAAGGGACGGCUAACUACGUGCCAGCAGCCGCGGUAAUACGUAGGUGGCAAGCGUUAUCCGGAUUUAUUGGGCGUAAAGAGAGUGCAGGCGGUUUUCUAAGUCUGAUGUGAAAGCCUUCGGCUUAACCGGAGAAGUGCAUCGGAAACUGGAUAACUUGAGUGCAGAAGAGGGUAGUGGAACUCCAUGUGUAGCGGUGGAAUGCGUAGAUAUAUGGAAGAACACCAGUGGCGAAGGCGGCUACCUGGUCUGCAACUGACGCUGAGGCUCGAAAGCAUGGGUAGCGAACAGG
rnacentral:rRNA from 1 species